GCAGCGCUAAAAAUAAACAAAUCGUGACAAAUAGCUGUAAGUGCACCCGACGCUAUCUGCCUCCAGAAGACAAUGGCAUCCACCUAUCAAUUUCCUCGCCCUCCCCACCUUCAAAUCGGAUCGGAGUGCGACUGAGUCACAUCAUUUCCAUGAGCCGCAACCUCUCGGCGACCUACAUCCCAGUUGGCACCGCAAGUUACACAUUCCGGGCACCAAACUUAGCACUUCCAAAGGCAGUCGUGUGCUCAUACGCGUACGUAUUGUUUUCGGAUCGGAUCUAUGUCAGGGAGUGCAAUUAGAACAGCACCGAGGCAUCGGUGAGCGUCUGAUUAGCGAAUUAUGGCAAGCCGCCGGGCGUUUAAUGGGCGAUAAGAUUACUGGGGAGUGUAAAUAACUCGGGUUUCGAAUUUUCUGAUAGAGCCAGUGGCCAGCGGUCGCCCAUUUGAAUUAUGAUGUCACUGUCGCCAAGUCAAUGAACGUCUUCCGACACCUUAAACAGAAAGCAAGACAACAUACAUCACAUCAACAUUUACAGCGACUAGUCAUCCCCGACCGACGUCUCCAUAUGGCAAACGGCGUCGUGAUUUGUACAAAAUAAAGCGGAAGGAAAAAACGAGCGAAAACCAUACGAAGAUAAGGCAGAAAACAAUGAAACUCGAAAAACGCCAAGGGACAGAACCAAUCGGACGCCUAGAAAUUGGAACACCAAAGAGCCGUUCAUGUCAUCUCAUCUCCCCCGGUCCGCCACAUCCCACUCCAGAUGUCCCCACGCGGCGAUAAGGCAGCAGCGUCGAGUAUCGGAUUCGAAUCAUAAAAACGUAAACGACAAAAGCGAAACGCACGGCAAACAAACAAUACAAUAGAAACUGGCGUGAGAUAAAGCCAGUAUGAAGAAAGACCAACAACAAUGGUAAUAAUAAUAAAUGGAAAUUAAAAAUUGAUUGCUUCUUUGGCCGGCGCUUCUUGGCAUCCGCCCCAGUACAGUGGUUGUGCAUUGAUUGAAAAGCGAGGGCUCAGUUUAGCUUGGUAGCUUUAUGGCAUUUCAUUCGACGGACGGGCCUAUCUAUCGGCUGGUUUCAUUCUGGGAAUUCUUACUUUCUUACUUUGUUUACUUCUAAUCGAACUUGAAGUGGUGUUACACACAAGAAAUCAAACCACGGUGCACUUUGGCCAAGAGGGAUACAGUCUACCCCAACGACCGACAAUCGUUGUUAUUCUUCGUCAAUUAGAGACAACCUCGCGAUUGGAUUGCGUUGGGGAAAACGAAUCACUUGACCAGCUGAGUUUGGCGAAAACGGAAAUCCAACAUUAUUCACUCUCCCUGGCCUGUUCACCGAUUCAACGAAUCAACGAUUCAACGAUUCACCGAGCAUACACGUAACGCCGAAUCCGCGCUAGAUUUAUGAUCGCCACUCACCUC